UACGUAGGGGGGCUAGCGUUGUCCGGAAUCAUUGGGCGUAAAGAGCGUGUAGGCGGCCCGGUAAGUCCGCUGUGAAAGUCGGGGGCUCAACCCUCGAAUGCCGGUGGAUACUGUCGGGCUAGAGUGCGGAAGAGGCGAGUGGAAUUCCUGGUGGUAGCGGUGAAAUGCGCAGAUAUCAGGAGGAACACCGAUUGCGAAGGCAGCUCGCUGGGACGUGACUGACGCUGAGACGCGAAAGCGUGGGGAGCAAACAGG
rnacentral:rRNA from 1 species